rnacentral:rRNA from 1 species
GUCGAGCGGUAAGGCCUUUCGGGGUACACGAGCGGCGAACGGGUGAGUAACACGUGGGUGAUCUGCCCUGCACUCUGGGAUAAGCCUGGGAAACUGGGUCUAAUACCGGAUAUGACCUGCUCUCGCAUGGGGGUGGGUGGAAAGAUUUAUCGGUGCAGGAUGGGCCCGCGGCCUAUCAGCUUGUUGGUGGGGUAAUGGCCUACCAAGGCGACGACGGGUAGCCGACCUGAGAGGGUGACCGGCCACACUGGGACUGAGACACGGCCCAGACUCCUACGGGAGGCAGCAGUGGGGAAUAUUGCACAAUGGGCGAAAGCCUGAUGCAGCGACGCCGCGUGAGGGAUGAAGGCCUUCGGGUUGUAAACCUCUUUCAGCAGGGACGAAGCGCAAGUGACGGUACCUGCAGAAGAAGCACCGGCUAACUACGUGCCAGCAGCCGCGGUAAUACGUAGGGUGCGAGCGUUGUCCGGAAUUACUGGGCGUAAAGAGUUCGUAGGCGGUUUGUCGCGUCGUUUGUGAAAACCCGGGGCUCAACUUCGGGCUUGCAGGCGAUACGGGCAGACUUGAGUGUUUCAGGGGAGACUGGAAUUCCUGGUGUAGCGGUGAAAUGCGCAGAUAUCAGGAGGAACACCGGUGGCGAAGGCGGGUCUCUGGGAAACAACUGACGCUGAGGAACGAAAGCGUGGGUAGCAAACAGGAUUAGAUACCCUGGUAGUCCACGCCGUAAACGGUGGGCGCUAGGUGUGGGUUCCUUCCACGGAAUCUGUGCCGUAGCUAACGCAUUAAGCGCCCCGC